AUACGUAGGGGGCGAGCGUUGUCCGGAAUGAUUGGGCGUAAGGGCGCGUAGGCGGCCCGGUAAGUCUGGAGUGAAAGUCCUGUUUUUAAGAUGGGAAUUGCUUUGGAUACUGUCGGGCUUGAGUGCAGGAGAGGUAAGUGGAAUUCCCAGUGUAGCGGUGAAAUGCGUAGAGAUUGGGAGGAACACCAGUGGCGAAGGCGACUUACUGGACUGUAACUGACGCUGAGGCGCGAAAGUGUGGGGAGCAAACAGGAUUAGAUACCCUGGUAGUCCACACUGUAAACGAUGAAUGCUAGGUGUAGGGGGUAUCGACCCCUUCUGUGCCGCAGUCAACACAAUAAGCAUUCCGCCUGGGGAGUACGGCCGCAAGGUUGAAACUCAAAUGAAUUGACGGGG
rnacentral:rRNA from 1 species